rnacentral:rRNA from 1 species
GAUGAACGCUAGCGGCGUGCCUAACACAUGCAAGUCGAACGCGCAGCCGAACUCUUCGGAAAUCGGUGGGCGAGUGGCGAACGGGUGAGUAACACGUGGGUGACCUGCCCCGAAGUGGGGGAUAAUCCUUCGAAAGGGGGACUAAUCCCGCAUGUGCUCUACAGGGUUAGAGGCCUGUGGAGUAAAGUUCCGGCGCUUCGGGAGGGGCCUGCGGCCGAUUAGCUAGUUGGUGGGUAAUGGCUCACCAAGGCGACGAUCGGUAGCUGGUCUGAGAGGACGAUCAGCCACACUGGCACUGAGACACGGGCCAGACUCCUACGGGAGGCAGCAGUGAGGAAUCUUGCGCAAUGGGCGAAAGCCUGACGCAGCAACGCCGCGUGGGUGAUGAAGGCCUUCGGGUCGUAAAACCCUUUUCUGGGGGACGAGGAAGGACGGUACCUCAGGAAUAAGUCUCGGCUAACUACGUG